UACGAAGGGGGCUAGCGUUGCUCGGAUUGACUGGGCGUAAAGGGCGCGUAGGCGGUUCGUACAGUCAGACGUGAAAUUCCUGGGCUCAACCUGGGGGCUGCGUUUGAUACGUGCGGACUUGAGUGCGGAAGAGGGUCGUGGAAUUCCCAGUGUAGAGGUGAAAUUCGUAGAUAUUGGGAAGAACACCGGUGGCGAAGGCGGCGACCUGGUCCAUUAUUGACGCUGAGGCGCGACAGCGUGGGGAGCAAACAGG
rnacentral:rRNA from 1 species